rnacentral:rRNA from 1 species
UACGGGGGGAGCAAGCGUUGUUCGGAUUUACUGGGCGUAAAGGGCGCGUAGGCGGUCAGCACAAGUCAGUUGUGAAAUCUCCGGGCUUAACUCGGAAAGGUCAACUGAUACUGUGCGACUAGAGUGCAGAAGGGGCAACUGGAAUUCUUGGUGUAGCGGUGAAAUGCGUAGAUAUCAAGAGGAACACCUGCGGCGAAGGCGGGUUGCUGGGCUGACACUGACGCUGAAGCGCGAAAGCCAGGGGAGCAAACGGG